CCUACGGGCGGCAGCAGUAGGGAAUCUUUCACAAUGGGCGAAAGCCUGAUGGAGCAACGCCGCGUGCAGGAUGAAGGCCUUCGGGUUGUAAACUGCUUUUAUAAGCGAGAAAUAUGAUGGUAACUUAUGAAUAAGGAUCGGCUAACUACGUGCCAGCAGCCGCGGUCAUACGUAGGAUCCGAGCAUUCUCCGGGGUGACUGGGUGUAAAGAGUUGCGUAGGUGGGAUAAUAAGUAGAGAGUGAAAUCUGGUGGCUCAACCAUUCAGACUAUUAGCUAAACUGUUAAGCUCGAGACCGUUAGGGGUAACUGGAAUUGCUAGUGUAGCAGUGAAAUGCGUAGAUAUGAGAAGGAACACCAAUAGCGUAGGCAGGUUGCUGGGACGGUUCUGACACUAAGGCACGAAAGCGUAGGGAGCAAACGGGAUUAGAUACCCCUGUAGUC
rnacentral:rRNA from 1 species